rnacentral:ncRNA from 2 species
AUCUUUGCGCCUGCAAUUGGUUUUCCGUUUUGGAGAUUAAAAUGGGAAUCGGGUUCAAAUCCCGGACAGUCCCGCUGCUGUAAUCGGUAUUAUGAGGCAUGAACAAAGGUCACUGAGCGUUAUCGGGAAGACUCAUGCCGUAGGCCGUAAGUCAGAAGACCUGCCACUGCAUUACUUAUUUC